CGGAUAUCUUUACUUAAAUAUAAUCUAGUUUACAAAAAAAAAAAAAAAAAUUUCCUCCAGGUGCCAAACUUCCAGGUGCGGCCGUUCACGGAAACUGUUUCAUGAGUUGUAUAAUGGAGAUCUAAAGACCUGGUGCGGAAAUUCCACCAGGCAGAGGUGUGACUAUGAAUUGGCACAGUUAUUAUUUUGACCUUCCUUUGUAUGGGUGCAGUGGGGUGGUAUUGCAAGGAUGCUGCCUGAAACCGGCAUCCACAAGGACAGAGACAGUAAAAGCUGGUGUAUGUGUUUAGUUGUACAAAUCAGCAAGUUAUUUAAGGUGAGAGAUGCCUUUAACAUUUACAAAUUAGAAGCAUUUUCUCCUGUAAUCCAGUUCAGAGGAAGUGUGAUUCACACUGAUCUUCCCUGAUGUUUCGUCCCGGCACUGGAUACAUGCUGGUUGGUGAGCUGCUAGUCUUUGAACAGUUAACUCAGACCAACUCACCACAAAGCAGAGAGGACCUGUUUUUCAUAUCUUCCUGUCUGAUCGGUAUGCUGGACUUCAUCCACAUUCAAAGGAGCACACCCGAGAGAAAAUGGAAUGAGAAAAAAAGAACAAUGCUGAAAACGCUGGAGAUGGUCAUGGGUGCAAACACUUCAGUGCAAAAGACUGAAGAAAAAGGAGUCCGAUGUAAUAAUCCUGCGGCCAGCUACAAUAUGCCAUUCUUCUGCACCUUGGUCAGUGGGACAGAUCCCUGGGCUCCUCCAGGGGAGAAGGAGGAGAAAACUUCUUUCCCACUUGGGACAUGGUUACGGCUGGGUUUUGCAGCUCUCACUAUCUCCCCUGCAGCCUGCACUGGAGUAGAACUGACGCAGAAGAAGCCAAGCGGCGUCGUAACACAUUUGCCCCGUGUAAGUUAAGACAUCCUUAGUGAUCCUCUGCUGCCUUUCUUAGACAACCCAUGGAGCCGUGAGAUUGCAUCUUCCACAGGGAGGCCUUUGUCACUCGGUGAGUCACUUUGGUCAGCUGAAGGAGAUGUCCUCUUGUCCCCAACAAUUUUGUGUGUGAGGCAGGCAAACACAAGUGACCAACACAGGGGAUGCUCAAUGGGGAAAACUGAAAACAGAGCAAAAAUUUCCAAAGAAAAUAUGGCAACCUACAACAGUCCAAAUUUUAUCCCCUCUAUGUCCUUAUUCUAUAUAUACCUUCUCCAUGAGGACCCAAGCAGCAAAUACCAG
rnacentral:lncRNA from 1 species